UACGUAGGUGGCUAGCGUUGUCCGGAUUUACUGGGCGUAAAGAGCGCGCAGGCGGUCGUUCAAGUCGAGUGUGAAAGCCCCCGGCUCAACUGGGGAGGGUCACUCGAUACUGAUCGACUCGAAGGCAGGAGAGGGAAGCGGAAUUCCCGGUGUAGUGGUGAAAUGCGUAGAUAUCAGGAGGAACACCAAUAGCGAAGGCAGCUCGCUGGGACGGUACUGACGCUAAGGCGCGAAAGCGUGGGGAGCGAACAGG
rnacentral:rRNA from 1 species